rnacentral:lncRNA from 1 species
GUAAAGUGUACUUCAACCUCCUGUUCUUUCUUCUCUGAAUAGAGAGAAAACUGUUAUUCAAGGUAUUGAAGGUGAACUAAUUUUUCAUUGUCACAUGUCAAAUUUUGUUGAUAUUCUUUAGAGAGUGGAAAAUCCCUGUAGGACAACAGUGUAUUCCUAACGAAGAAGUUAGCUUUAUGGGUCUCAUCAUAUUCUUCCUUGAAGAUGUGAGAAGAAAAAUGUAAAGAUUGAAACACAUCACUCUAGUGGUGACUUCCACACGUAUGCUCCUUGACUAUGAACAAGCCUGGGUAAUUGCUUCCUUGGCUCUUGGACACGAGGACUGAUGCGUGCUCAUAUAUACAUCAUGCAUCCUCAUGAAUGUGUCAUGAAGCCCUCUGGCAGCCACAUCUUGCGGCUUGCUCAGUGGAGGAAGUUUGCAACGUGAACCGGAGAGGUCCAGCUCUGCCCUCUUCCUCUUGUGUGCAACGAGACCGGUGGUUCCUGGAGAGGUUGGGUCCACAUCCAGGCUGAACGACUCUCUGAAGUCUUUGGGCCAUGACUAUUACCUUGGCUCCAGAGAUGAGGAUUGCCUUUCCUCUUCACAUCAGGUUUCAUGAAGGAACCGGUCUCCGUCACAGCAUCAACAGUACGUGCACGUCCUUAUUUUCAAAGUAGCAAAAAUAUUAUAAGGUGUUAUUUGUCCUUUGUUUUCUGCAGACAGAGAAAUUUAUUGCAAAACU